rnacentral:rRNA from 1 species
UUGGAUUGAGACAACGUACAAACCUUAUCGAUAAACAAUUGGAGGGCAAGUCUGGUGCCAGCAGCCGCGGUAAUUCCAGCUCCAAUAGCGUAUAUUAACGUUGUUGCAGUUAAAAAGCUCGUAGUUGAAAUGAAGGGUAGUUGUGUAAUGGAUACAUUCGUGUAUUUUGUUAUUCUACUACCCUCCUUCUAAAUUCGAUAUAUGAGUAUUAAUUUACUUGUAUAUGGUUUUAGACUUUUACUGUGAGAAAAUUAGAGUGUUCAAAGCAGGCAUUUGCUUGAAUAUAUUAGCAUGGAAUAAUCAUGUAUGAUUUUCAUGAUGUAUUUGAUUGGUUUGGUUCAUGAGAAUAAGAUUAAAAGGGACAGUUGGGGGUAUUCAUAUUCAAUAGUCAGAGGUGAAAUUCUCGGAUUUAUGGAAGAUGAACAAGUGCGAAAGCAUUUACCAAGGAUGUUUUCAUUAAUCAAGAACGAAAGUUAGGGGAUCGAAGAGGAU